GGUCCCCAGAUGUUGUUGGACUACAACUCCCAUCAUCCCUAGCUAUGGGAGUUGUAGUCCAACAACAUCUGGGGACUCACA